AUGUACGAGCACACCAUCGGAAAGUACUCCACGGCUGCCUCGUCAAGGUCGAGGCUUCUCCAACAGCCGAUCAGUGGCAGCGGGCGCGCGAUGGCGGCAGCAGCAGCCGGCCCCGACUCCACCGACGAGCUCAUGGCAGACAUCACGAAGCGCCUCAUCCGCACCCUCCAGCGCGGCGGGGUCGGGGUGCCUUACACGCUAUCUCCCGAGGAAGACUUCAUGUCACGGUCAGCCAAAUACUUCGGACAUGUCAUGCCGAUCACCAGCGCUCCAGCAGUGCAGGCAUUCCAACAGGGAGACCCCAAGACCGUUGUCCCCUGCCCGUAUGGCCUUGCAUGCCCCUCGGGUCGCCAAUGCUAUUGGAAGCAUUAG
rnacentral:rRNA from 1 species